GACGAACGCUGGCGGCGUGCUUAACACAUGCAAGUCGAGCGGUAGGGCCCUUUCGGGGGUACGACGAGCGGCGAAUGGGUGAGUAACACGUGGGUGACCUGCCCUCAGCUCUGGGAUAAGCCUGGGAAACCGGGUCUAAUACUGGAUAUGACUCCAUGGCGCAUGUUGUGGGGUGGAAAGCCUUGUGCGGCUGAGGAUGGGCCCGCGGCCUAUCAGCUUGUUGGGGGGGU
rnacentral:rRNA from 1 species